GAGUUUGAUCCUGGCUCAGGACGAACGCUGGCGGCGUGCUUAACACAUGCAAGUCGAACGGUGAUCUCAGCUUGCUGGGUGAUCAGUGGCGAACGGGUGAGUAACACGUGAGUAAUCUGCCCACAGCUCUGGGAUAACCAUGGGAAACUGUGGCUAAUACCGGAUAUGACGCGUACAGGCAUCUGUUGCGUGUGGAAAGUUUUUCGGCUGUGGAUGGGCUCGCGGCCUAUCAGCUUGUUGGUGGGGUAAUGGCCUACCAAGGCGACGACGGGUAGCCGGCCUGAGAGGGUGACCGGCACACUGGGACUGAGACACGGCCCAGACUCCUACGGGAGGCAGCAGUGGGGAAUAUUGCGCAAUGGGCGAAAGCCUGACGCAGCGACGCCGCGUGAGGGAUGAAGGCC
rnacentral:rRNA from 1 species